UCUCUCUCUCUCUCUCUCACCAGUUUCAUAUAUACUGAGAGAUCUCACCACUUUUUUUCCUGCAUCAGUCUCUUAUCAGAAUAUUCAGCUCUCAUGGCUACAACCGACGUGGCAGUGCAUUUAUAUGAGAAUGGAAGAGUGAAAACAAAAAAAUAUGAUGUUGUUUAUGAAGGUGACGACAUGAAUGUGAUGCCUAUUAAGCUCAACCAUGGAACUACGUAUUUUGGAUUGUUGGAUAAACUCUACGCAACUACGGGAAUUGACAGGCAUGACAGGUUGAACGUCGUAUACAGAUACCCUAUAUCUUCAAGGGAAUAUAAGCCCAUCCCAAUAAAGAAUGACGAGGCCGUAGACCUUAUGUUGGAAGUGCCAUGCAGAUCAUUUCGAGUCUACUGUGUGGAGAUAUAUUUGGAG